GUGCUCACUUUGGCAGCACAUAUACUAAAGUUGGAAUGUACAGAGAAGAAUAGCAUGGCCCCUGGGCAAGGAUGACAUGCAAAUUCACAAAGAGUUCCAUAUUAAG
rnacentral:snRNA from 1 species